UUAUUAUUAUUAAGGUCUUUCCUUUUACAAAAGGGAAAGACCUUACUGUAUUUCUUCUGUUUAUUAUUAUUAUUAUUAUUAUUAUUAUUCUUUUUCCGCCAAACUUUGACAAAUUUAGCCGCGUUAACCGUAAGACGUGUCGCUUUCAUAUUCACACUUUGUAUCGAUGUCAUGAAUACCUAUCCGGAACUCACCCUGUGAGUCGAAAUAUUUUGUCGGUUCGGAGUAAUCCCUCCGAAACCCAAAAACCUUGUUAUCGUUCCAACACCG
rnacentral:lncRNA from 1 species